rnacentral:rRNA from 1 species
GCAGAACGCGAAGAACCUUACCAGGUCUUGACAUCCUCUGCCAACCCUAGAGAUAGGGCGCUCCCCUUCGGGGGACAGAGUGACAGGUGGUGCAUGGUUGUCGUCAGCUCGUGUCGUGAGAUGUUGGGUUAAGUCCCGCAACGAGCGCAACCCUUGAUCUUAGUUGCCAGCAUUCAGUUGGGCACUCUAAGGUGACUGCCGGUGACAAACCGGAGGAAGGUGGGGAUGACGUCAAAUCAUCAUGCCCCUUAUGACCUGGGCUACACACGUGCUACAAUGGAUGGUACAAAGAGCUGCGAACCCGCGAGGGUAAGCGAAUCUCAUAAAGCCAUUCUCAGUUCGGAUUGUAGGCUGCAACUCGCCUACAUGAAGCCGGAAUCGCUAGUAAUCGCGGAUCAGCAUGCCGCGGUGAAUACGUUCCCGGGUCUUGUACACACCG